rnacentral:rRNA from 1 species
UACGUAGGUGGCAAGCGUUACUCGGAAUCACUAGGCGUAAAGCGCAGGUAGGCGGUUCGGUAAGUCUCUUGUGAAAGCUCCCGGCUCAACUGGGAGAGGUCAAGGGAAACUACCGGGCUAGAGUGUGGCAGAGGAAGCUGGAAUUCCCGGUGUAGCGGUGAAAUGCGUAGAGAUCUGGAGGAACACCGGUGGCGAAGGCGGCAUCCUGGACCACGACUGACACUGAAAAGCGAAAGCCAGGGGAGCAAACGGG